GCCGAUGUUUGUUCAAGUCACCCUGAACAAUGGCCUCAAUUUCCAUGGCAGCAACCUCACCAUCACCAAGGUCAACUGCGUGACAAGUACCACCCCACGCCCCACUACUACACCAAAGCCAACUGAACCUGUCAGAACACCUAAACCCACUAGACCACCGGAACCACCUAGACCACCAAAACCUGUAAGACCACCAAAACCGGUUGAGCCACCAGCACCUAAACUUGUCAAAACAACAAAACCUGUCAAAACAACAGAACCUGUUAAAACAACGGAACCUGUUAAAACAACGGAACCUGUCAUCCCUCCAAAACUCAUUACCUCAGAACCCCGAAGGAGCCACCGCCUGUGCUGCAGCCGGAACAGAAGCCUACGCCAUCGCCGCCACCGCCACCAGCACCUAUAAACGCAUGUCCCAGAGUGAUGGUUUAUUGCUGUGCGUGCAGAGGGG